rnacentral:lncRNA from 1 species
ACUGACUAUGAGACACUUUAUAACGAGCUGUUCAGCGAUGCAGUGCCUUCUUCCCACCCUCACUUGUCUAAUAAGUCCCCUGCAGACAGGGAAGUGUUAUACUAAUCCCCACACACUUGCUGACUUCCACUGUGGCUAAACCACAGUAGCUGCUCUGUGAAUGUGUGCCUCCAAGCUUCUAGGCAGCAUAAGGGAAACAAUGACCAGCACAGCAUGCAUCUAAGUUUUUUUCUUACUAAAAUGUUCUAUAUUGUUGUACCUACCAAUGUUUGCGUGGCUCUUUAGAGUUUACAAGGGACUCUUCACUUGAUCCUUCCUUGUAACAGCACUGGAAGGUAAUUACUAUUAUGCUUCCCAUUUUGUGGAUUAUGAAUCUGAGCUCACAGGGGUUAAGUGUCUUGCUCAAGAGCUUCCUUUUUUUAAGGCUGGAAUUAAUUCUUGCUGUGCUAUCAUGAGGUAGCCCCCGGGCUAAAACUUCUGCACCUAGUAUGGGCUGAGGAAGUGUGAGAACUUCUGAAGGAAUUGGAAUUACCUCCCAGAAGAUCAACGGAAGGCCCAGACUGCAGCCAGGACGGCGAGGAUUGCCUGUGCCUGCAGCUCCCAAUUCAGCUGGGAUGCUGGUGCUGCAGCAGCUGUGUGACUUAGCACAUGUUUCUGGGUGGUCUGCCAGAUUGCCUGAAGUUGACAGCAUCACGCAGAGUGAGCUCCUGCGUGGGAUCCCUACAGUGUGUGGGCACAAAGCCUCUGGAAUACAGUUUCCAGGAUACAAGCUCGGUGAAAGCAGACAGCCUUCUCUCUUGUGGCCUGAAGAACGCCUGCCUCCAGAGAAGUCAUCAGGGAGGAGGGUUGCCAUGAAGCUUCACUGGGUUGACACCGAGCGUCCAACACUCAUGAAGAAGUGAUUGCCAUUGUGUCACACAGCAGGUGGUGCACAAAAAAUGAAAAGGAAAGCUGAAAUAUUGUUGCAUGCAGAGGACUGUUGUGAAACCUGUAUGGAUUCAUCUACGUGAAGGAUUUUGAAAUUCUAAAGUGCUACAUACCCGUCUGCGGCUCAGCCAAAGUCACCCAGCAUCGACCCAGUCCUCACAUGCAAGAAUCCUGACUUCAGCUAAAUAUUCUUCCCACCACCUUAAGGUGCCAGAGAUCCUUCAUUCUGCUGCAGGUAGCUGCAGCCAUUCCUCUGCCAUGCACAGGACUCACAGCAGUUCACAAAGGAGUGGAUGGUUGCACACAUUCAUCGACAGAGAAACCCGAGCAUGCAGCCGCCGUCUGCGACCAGCGUGAGAUGUUCUCUGGAGGAGGAAAACACACAGCACAAACUGCUGUGCUGAAUGCCUGUCUUGAGCUGGGCACCUUCCAGGGAAAGCGAGUCUCUGCCCUCUAAGAUCAAGUCCAGACAAAGGGAGUUUCCCAGAGGAAGUGAAUCACUCAGGGAGGGUCCCUUUGAUAUGGCAGGAGCCAGGGCUCCCCCUGUUUCAGUCACUACAAUAUCAAACCUAUGAAGAGCGGGAAUAUCUAGUUUCCUGCACCCCUACCACCUUCUUCCUGCUUUCUCCACUGAUCUUUUUUCUGAGUCAACAAGGUGAGAGCCUGGACAGAGGCCUUCGCAGGACCCUGACAAACACACUCCAAUGCCUCUGGCUUCUCUUGGGCCCCCACCUUCAGCAUCCUCUGAACAUAAAUAUGCCAUUACCUCAAUAGCCCUGAGAGAAGAAAUGUGCAAAACAUUCACUCCCUCCUGGAGAUACCGAUGUCCAGCAAGUCUGUCUUGCAUCAGCAUUAUAAGACAUUAGCAGCAAGACAUCCUGAUCCCCUUUCUUAUACUUAGCCUCCAGGCCCUUCCAGCUCCAUUGUCUGUGGGCUUUUGGGGAGAAUUGUCUGAGUUUUCAUCAGCUGUCAUAGGCACUGGUAUCUCCUAGAUAGGAUGUAGCAUACAAUAGGUAUUUUGCACAACAUUUAUCAGUGGCUGGGAAACCAACUUAUAUCUCACCGAGCUUCCUAAUUUUUUUUUUUAAUCUUUAAAAUGCCAUGGUUAAAUUAGAUAAUCUCUGAGUCACUUCCCAUUUCUAAGUGAUAUUUUUAGGUAAGUUGAAUAUGCUUAUGUGAUCAAUGGGAAAAGUAGAAAUCAGCUGAAGAAAGUAGGUUGGGGUCCCCAGGAUUAAGGAUCUACUGAUGUAGAUGUGAGUUAAAAAUGUGUGAGAGGUAGGAGAGGUGAGCUCAGCUAAGGAGUCCACAGCUGAGCCACAAAAACAUCCUCACUGGGAUGGAGAAUAACAGGCAAUGCUGGUCAGUGCAAAGAACCCUGAUAAGCCUGUGGGGUAGGGGGAGACCUGGCUUCCUGUGCAAGUCUUGUCCUUGUUUACCUGGAAAAUUCAGAGAAUAUGAUUUCCUCUCUAUGGACCUAGUGUUAUAAUAACUUUAAUUCAUAAUUCCAUUCUUCUACAAUGUCAUGAAAGGAAGAUCUCUCCUCUGACAGAUGUAGACAGAAAGACUAAGCCACCUGUUUACUGGGACUCUUUCUCCGUGUAGCUACUGGUGGUCAGUUUUACACUGAGGAUACUUGGACAGGCCUUAGCCUUCACUCUGCACACCAGAAAUGUGUAGCAACCUGAGUAUAUUAUAGACCCGAUCUGUUCUUCCUAAUGUCUUUAUUUGUGCUUUCUUUCACUUUGUUUUGUUAACAUUUCAGGUCAGAUACGUUGCAUAGAGGAAACUGUAGACUCUUUGGGAUGGAUGAGAACUUAGAGGCUUUGAUUUUCUUCCAUCUUGACUUGUACAUACUGAAGUUCUACACAGACAUCCCCAGGGACAAUGGUCUCACUGACUCCCAAGGCAUGCAGUUCCAUUUAGAUAAGUCCUGAUUAUUAGAAAGUUUGCUGAAAAAAGACGACAACUCCCUUAACUAAAACAAAACUUGGUUCAGUCGGUUCACCAGCUUUUGGAUCUGUUCCCCGCAAAUGGCCUGGGUUUUCCCUAGGAAGAUUAGCCUUCCUGGAGGUCACAGCUGCCUCUGUGCCUAGAAAAGUGUUCCCCUCCUCUGAUCCUAGAUCUUUGUCUUCAGAUUUUAAGAUUAUCUUGAUCAUUCCAAAACCUCAUAGUAAUUCAUUGCUUGAAAAGUAAUACUUGGUUUGAGAGUUUUCCCCUCUUUUAUUUUAAUCAUGGGAUGAUUAGUUGUUAAGUCUAUAUGCUAAUUCCAUACAAGUGAUCAGGUUUAAGUUUUGGCUUGCUCCAAGUCUUAGGUCAUACUCUGUAGUGGUGCAAUGUUAGUUAAAUUACUUAUCCUCUGUGAGGCUCAGGUUCUUAGUCUACAGUACAUGAACGGAUAAAGUAAAUGUGGUAUUUAUACACAAGGGAGUACUGCUUUGCCAAGAAGAAGGAUGAAUUCAGGUUAUCUUGUAGGAAAACGGAUGCACUUUGAGGGAAUAGUGUCAAGUGAAAUGAAUCAGACACACAAGUCUAAAUAUUACAUGGCUUCUCUUAUGUCAGAUACUCAAUGUAUAAACAAUUUAAAUUGACAAUAGAAAACAGGGAACUAGAUAUUUUGCAAAUGGGAAAGGGAUCUAGAGAUGGAGGGGUAGGUGAGGAAAGAAAGGAGAAGGGAAAAUAAAAUGAAUUAAGAUACGUCUACAUACCAACUCUCCAUGAUGAAUGUCAUCAUUAGGUACUAUCACCAUGUACUAACGAAAAAGAAAUAAACCAAGCAGGGUCUGUGGGGUGGUUUUUCCCAUAAGAAGUAGCAUCAGGCAAUCAAGAGGGCCUAUUUUCCUUACAGUCUAUCUCUGUACAGAGUGGAAAUCCAUCUUCUUGCUUCAGUGACCAUCUUGUUGAUCCUACUUCUAUCCUCUGGGACCUUAGAGGAUAGGGCUGAAACCCCACUUCUGCAUGGCCAGCCCUUCAAGUAUUUCCAUUUGGCCACAACCCCUUUCCAUGGCAAAAGACCUUGCCAGAGCAACUGAAGGGAGGAAAAUGUAUCCAGGACCUCACCACAAUCUGGAAAGCAAACCAAGAAAUUCUGACUUGUGCCCUGAAGUGACCACUCCAGCAUCUGUCUCCAGGAAUAGACGGGUGAGCCAGGCCUCUUAGAAAACUCAACUCUGGCAACACAAGACACUGAAGUGUUGAAACAUGCCACUUUGAUGUGGCAUUAGCUCAUGAUAUUGCUCUAUUUGCUUAAUUUAGAAGAAAAGCACAGCUGUUAGAAAUUUUAAUAUAAUAAUAAAUUUCAUGGUGCACCAGAGAUUUUCAAGAAUUUUUCCAUAAAAGCAUCGCACCCAAUUGUGCAACAUUUAAAAAAUUUUGUGUAAAUCUACUUUUUCUGUUGUACAAAGGUCAUGUUUUAUAACAGUUUUAAUAAAAGUUAACAAAUACAGUGUUUUAAUUUUAAGAAACUUAUUUCAGUAAAAGGCACAGUACCAAGAAUGAUGGGAUAAGUAUAUUUGAAAAAAGUGAAAGUAUUCUGAGUAUCUUCUGGGAGGAUUAAUAGCAACAUGUUUUUUAUUGUAAUAAUUUUAAAAUAUGUAUAUAAUCACUUACUGCAUUUUUGUCAUAGCUAAUACACUGUUUUCCAACUUUUCCAUCCCUACACUAUUGAAUUCUUAGAAAAUCAAUUUACCCUGUUUAGUUGAAACAUUGCUGAAACAAUACACAUUUUAAAUAAACAAAUAUAGAGAUUUAAUUGCUAUAUUAUUGAAUGGAAAUCCCUAGAAACCCACUACUUUCUUGGAAUAUGAGCAUUAUUUGAUCCCUCGAUUAAAAAUGAAACAACCAGAUGAAUGUUAAAAUAUUAUUUUCUUUGGCUGUAUAGCUUGAUCCAUAUUACAUUUUCCUAUCUC